GAUGAACGCUGGCGGCGUGCCUAAUACAUGCGAGUCGAGCGAACAGACGAGGAGCUUGCUCCUCUGACGUUAGCGGCGGACGGGUGAGUAACACGUGGAUAACCUACCUAUAAGACUGGGAUAACUUCGGGAAACCGGAGCUAAUACCGGAUGAUAUAUUGAACCGCAUGGUUCAAUAGUGAAAGACGGUUUUGCUGUCACUUAUAGAUGGAUCCGCGCCGCAUUAGCUAGUUGGUAAGGUAACGGCUUACCAAGGCAACGAUGCGUAGCCGACCUGAGAGGGUGAUCGGCCACACGGGAACUGAGACACGGUCCAGACUCCUACGGGAGGCAGCAGUAGGGAAUCUUCCGCAAUGGGCGAAAGCCUGACGGAGCAACGCCGCGUGAGUGAUGAAGGUCUUCGGAUCGUAAAACUCUGUUAUUAGGGAAGAACAAAUGUGUAAGUAACUAUGCACGUCUUGACGGUACCUAAUCAGAAAGCCACGGCUAACUACGUG
rnacentral:rRNA from 1 species